CCGGUGUAUUGCUUCUUCGUCAAGUCGGUCAGGGCAGGAAAGCA
rnacentral:SRP_RNA from 15 species